GCAUGGCCGGCAGGCGGUGAGUUGUCGUAGACGCCGGGGUUGUCCUCCCCGGUAGCAGCAUCCAUGUCCGUUGCUGCCGGGCCAGGAUCGGCCCGGCGGCAGCUUCGCCUCCCCGGAGGAGGCGUGGUGGCCGUGCGCCAGGGACGGAUGUUGAUGCGUGUUAUUCUUGUUUGGUUAUGGCCGCGCUCCGGGCGGUCCCUCCAGAACGUACCCCGAUGAUCCAGCAGCGCACCCUCAAGAACACGAUCCGCGCCACCGGCGUCGGCCUGCACAGCGGCGACAAGGUCU
rnacentral:sRNA from 1 species